CAAGAUUUCCCAAAUUCUUACUUAAUUAACUUCCACCAAUAAUUGAUGCAAAAAAAAGAGUGACAAAAUUGGAAGUGUGUUUGCACAAGAAACAGAUAUCAAACAUGUGAAACUGAAAUGGGUUCUAUGAAUUUGACAAAUUCUGCAUAAACGGGAAGAAUUACAAGUAGCAGAAGCUACUGCAACAGAAUUGAAGACUUACCCAUGAAGCAGAAAGAGAGAUGGAAGUGAAAGAAAGAAGCAUUUCACCAAUAGGUAAAGCUGUAUGGCCUGCCCUCAAACACAAAACGGGGUUUGCG
rnacentral:lncRNA from 1 species